rnacentral:rRNA from 1 species
GACGAACGCUGGCGGCGCGCUUAACACAUGCAAGUCGAACGAGAAGCCGGAGCUUGCUCCGGUGGACAGUGCGAACGGGUGAGUAACACGUGAGAAACCUGCCCUAAAGACUGGGAUAACAAUCGGAAACGAUUGCUAAUACCGGAUACCUUCAUUUUUUCGCAUGAUCGAAUGAAGAAAUGGAUUCCGCUUUAGGAUGGUCUCGCGUUCUAUCAGCUUGUUGGUGGGGUAACGGCCUACCAAGGCUUCGACGGAUACCUGGUCUGAGAGGAUGUCCAGGCACACUGGGACUGAGACACGGCCCAGACUCCUACGGGAGGCAGCAGUGGGGAAUCUUGCACAAUGGGCGAAAGCCUGAUGCAGCGACGCCGCGUGUGGGAUGACGGCCCUCGGGUUGUAAACCACUUUCAGCAGGGACGAUGGUGACGGUACCUGCAGAAGAAGCCCCGGCCAACUACGUGCCAGCCGCCGCCGUAAUAC